GUUAUAUUCCUAUAAAAUCCUUCUUAAUUAAAAAGUGUGAUCAACAUAGCUAACAGCUAUAAAAGGGACAUCUGUGCCCUAUGCAUUUCAUCUCUAUGCCUGAGAGCUCUCCAAACCUCCCUCCUUCUUAGAUCAAUGGCAAAAAAGUAUAACUUAUUAUCUCUAUUGUACUUAUGAUAAACAAAAUUGUGGGGCUGGGCUGAUACGAGUGCUGGUGCAAGGUGGGGAAAUAAGAGCAGGGGCCUUAAUAAAACCAUCUUAAGAAAGAGGAGUAACUGAUUAUGGAUAUACUAGACAUUUUGGAUAGAUGUAAACCACUGCUUUUUUUUUUUAAAUGUAAAACCUGGUUUUAAAAGAGUUAAUGUAUAAACUGUGAAAUGUUUUAGCAAUAUGAAAUCUGGUUUUGACUCCAUGGCUCAGUCUCGGCACUACCCCUGUCUGUGGUGCAAUAAACUCAGUUGAGCUGCAUGUAAUCUAUUUACAAAAACAGCAGCUUUGCAGUCCUUGAUUUGUGUGUCCUUUUAAUUUCUCCAUCCCUGUUGAGUCUCCCUCUGAUGCACCAUGCCAUGAAGAUGAUUAACCUCCAGCACUUUAUCAGCCCAAGAUCCACGGCUGUGGCAGUGCAAGGAACUAUCCUGGUGUAACUGUAGUGCAAGCCAGGCCUGAAGACCAGGUGCUGGGUCUCUGCCCGCUAAGUGCAAAGCCGUUUCUUCCUCACAAAAGCUAGCAAUUUGCUUAAAUCCUGAGAAUAAACCUUAAAUGCUCAGUAAGAUAAGAUUGAUAAGAGGCAACCCCAGCCUCUUAUCAAAUAGAUGGCUAAACUGACCCCCAGGUGGGCUUGGGAGGCAGGGUUCUCCAGACAGUUCUGGAACUUUCUCCUGAGCGCCCCUCGCACCCUCAGGAGCAGCUGCUGGAGGAACCCACAGGUGCAGUGCAGUGCAGUGAUCCCGGCAGGCACUCACAGACACCUGAACCCAGGUGCAGCUGUUCUGGGCACCAGAACCUGGUGUUGCCCUUCCUUGGGAAGGGGACAGAAUCUAUGGAAUACCAUGGAUGCUGGUGGAAAAGAGGUUCCUAGGAAGAGGGAAGUCUACUACUGUAUGUAA
rnacentral:lncRNA from 1 species